ACAAAGUUCUGAGUGGAAGAAUUCUUCCAGGGACUGCCAAGGAGUGACACUGUAGCCAGAUACAAGAGACAAGCCCAAUGUGUCACCCAGCCUGGAUCCCAUAGAGGUCACAUGGACAAAACAGUACUUCAAGAUCUUUGACCUGCCUAGGUGGGCAACUGGAGUGGAAGCUCCACAAAGUCAGAGCCAACCUACAUGAUGCAAAAGCACCACUCCAAUCACCUCUCUCAGAGGCUCACAGCCCCGGGGGGACAGCGUCCAGGGGUCCUCCACGGGCUGCCCCAGUGAAGCUCUCCAGCUUGUCUCCCAUGACUCACCAACCCAGGUUGAACAUCCCAAAUUCACAAAUCUGAAAUGCAAAAUCCUCCAAAAUCCAAAACUUUCUGAGCAUCAACAUGACUCAUGAAGAUCUCACCGAAUUUCCCAGAAGCCCUCGCUCCCAUCGGACUAGAAUCUUCUUUUGAGAGGCCUUUCCUUUUCUCAUCCCUAUUGCAACCAGUACAAAAAGCAAAACAGAAAGACACUAAAGCAAAACCAAAGUUUUAGUCACAAAAGCCAAAUGGGUUGGCGAGGGAAGGCGGUGGUUACAGGGAAGGUUUUAAGCUCACCAGGCCCUGUAGCUGAGGUUUCAAAAUGGCAGCUAACUGGACACCAUCUGUUCUAAAUCUGCUUACCCAAACCUCCCUCCAGUUCUCCAAGGGAUGUCCCUAAUUACUAGCACAGCCAGCUGCCAACAUGGAAUCUGGGUCUCCCUUCUUUCAAAUAUUAGAGAUGUGAGACCAGAAAGAUUACUUCCCAAUACCAGAGAAAAGGCUAAGAGGGAGGAACAAGGAGGAGAAGGAGACCUUCACUGCAGCAUGCAAGGACAUGGCGGACGCUUCCCAUCCCAUAUCUCAGCUAUUAUGCAUUCCCAACUGGCUUGGCCAACAUCCAGAGAGACUCCAGGCUGGUGAGUCUGUGAAUGUGAAGCAGAGAUAAGCAAGGCGGCGAGGGGGAGCUCGCCCACUGUUAUAUAUGGGCUGCAGCACUGCGUGGCGCGGAGUCAGGGGAAUCUUCCAUUUCCAAGACAUUUCUGCACUCGAUCCUGCUCCCCAAGACUAAGAAUUCUUUCUUGGCUUCCUCCCACUCCCUGGAAUGUAACUAAGCAGUUACCUUGAGAACAAGGAAAAAUUGGGGGCUAGGGAGGUGUAUGAGUGUUUUAAUGUGUUAAAAAUCACAUUUACCCUGGAUACUUGUUUGCAAUAAAACAGAGAGUAGGAAACUCCAUUCUUACCUUC